UUAUUAAAAUUUUGUCUACAACAUCCCUUCUUCUUAUGGGCAUAGUCCAUCAUAUGUCUUAUUGGAUUAACACAUACACUGUGAAGUAUUUUGUGGAACGUCUCCAGCAUAUCUGUAAUGAAUUAAGAGACGAAAACGAAAUCGCUAUAAUAAAGAAAUAUGCAAAUAGCGCAGAAUAUAUCGCGAUUUUCAUUACAUUGUAUACGGCGUGCUGCGGAUUUAUUAUUACUUUUACGCAAAUUUUUCCGCGGAUUCUUAGCACUUUUCUACUCGUAAAUAUAUCUCGACCACUUUACAAUGUGCAAUUUGUAACUGAAUAUUUUAUUGAUAAAGAAAAGAAUUUUUAUUUAAUUUUUAUACACAUAUGCGCAUCAUUGUACAUAGGAACGGUUGCAUUCGCGGGAACAAGUUUAAUAUCAUUUACAUACUUUAAACACAUUUGCGGACUAUUUUGCAUUGCUAGUUACCACAUGGAACAAUCAAUGAUGUUAAAUAUUCACAAAAAAACUAAUCUGUGGAAUAAUAUGGAGAUCGACAAGAAAAUAAUUCAUGCAGUGGAUAUUCAUCGCACAGCUAUUGAGUUGUCUGAAUUCUUUAUAUCUAAUUUCAAUGGAACAUAUUUUUGUGUAAUGUUAAUAAGCGUACUUUGUUUAAGCCUUAAUUUAUACAAACUAUUUCUAACUGUACUAUUUCAAGAUGAAAUAGAGGAAUUUCUGUUACAUUUUAUAUUUGCAACUGCUAUACUUAUACAUUUGUUCUUGGCCAACUCUUGCGGUGAAGAAAUUACAGAGAACUAUAACAACAUAUUUUCAGCUGCAUACAGCGUUCACUGGUAUGCGGCUCCUAUACGGAUACAGAAAUUGAUAUUAUUUCUGUUGCAAAGAAGUUGUAAGACGCACGGUAUCAAACUAGGUGGAAUCUUUAUAGCAUCUCUAGAAGGCUUUGCUGCGUUAUCUGCUACAUCGUUAUCUUACUUUACUGUUCUAUAUUCUCUACAAAAGUGAUAUCACCCAUCUUAUAGUAAAUUGAAAGUAAGUAGGUAAACUUAAAGAUAUAAAUAACAGUAACUGCUCCGUUUUCAAAUAACUUGUUGCGUAAAAUUAUCACUUUACUAUUAAUUCAAUAUUUACAUAACAAUUAAUAGUAUAAUAAAUAAUAACAGUUUACACAAAGUUACAGAAAAUAAUCGAAAUAAUAUUUGACUAAAUAAAAUGCGACAGCGUUAUUGAAUCACACUGUAUAGAUUAUGUGUGCAAUUGUACAAUAUCAACAAGACAACGCUCGUAUGAGAAAACAAUAUGCUAGGAAUGCAUGGAAUAAAAUGAAGGACGUGAAGACUGGUUGGAAAUGUUAAUUGCGCUUGCGCGAACUUUUAUCAAAUUAUGACUAUUUUUCUGUGAGAAAUAAAUAUUCGUUGUGUUUUUA
rnacentral:misc_RNA from 1 species